UUCUCAUUUUCUUUGUCCUUUCGAGAGUAUUAAUUCACCAUGAUAAAGUUUGAUCUCAACCCACAUCGUUUCUCUGCUUCAUCAAUCAUGGGUUUCUCUUUUUCCUGUUUAUAGCUUUUUUUCUUGAAAUAAAUCUUGACGGCUCUUCUAUCCUUUUUUAGCUUCUGUUCUCUUUUAAAAUUAUGCUUCUUCCACGGACCAAACACUUGAAAGCUAACUUUCCCCCUUCUCUUCAUUUCCAUAUGCUCUUUUUCCCUGUUCUUUACAUUGCC
rnacentral:lncRNA from 1 species